rfam:Exiguobacterium sp. AT1b, complete genome.
UUAAAUAAAUAGAUUCGCACUCGUAUAUCAGCGGAAAUAUGGUCCGCAAGUCUCUACCGAACUACCGUAAAUGGUUCGACUACGGGUGGCGCUUGUCGUAUG